AUUGAACGCUGGCGGCAUGCCUUACACAUGCAAGUCGAACGGUAACAGGUCUUCGGAUGCUGACGAGUGGCGAACGGGUGAGUAAUACAUCGGAACGUGCCCGAGAGUGGGGGAUAACGAGGCGAAAGCUUUGCUAAUACCGCAUACGAUCUCAGGAUGAAAGCAGGGGACCGCAAGGCCUUGCGCUCACGGAGCGGCCGAUGGCAGAUUAGGUAGUUGGUGGGAUAAAAGCUUACCGAGCCGACGAUCUGUAGCUGGUCUGAGAGGACGACCAGCCAAACUGGGACUGCGACACGGCCCAGACUCCUACGGGAGGCAGCAGUGGGGAAUUUUGGACAAUGGGCGCAAGCCUGAUCCAGCCAUUCCGCGUGCAGGAUGAAGGCCCUCGGGUUGUAAACUGCUUUUGUACGGAACGAAAAGGCUCUGGUUAAUACCUGGGGCUCAUGACGGUACCGUAAGAAUAAGCACCGGCUAACUACGUGCCAGCCGCCGCGGUAACAC
rnacentral:rRNA from 1 species